rnacentral:lncRNA from 1 species
CUCCCUGUGUUUUCCCUUCCUGUGUGGCUCCCUUGAUCAGGAAUGAGAUAACAUGCAGAGGGAAGAGUGCAGAGGCCUCCCUCCCUUGAGCCACCGUACACCAUCACAGCUGCUGGGAAAUCCGUGGUGGAGGAGACGGUACUGUCCUUCCUGCAGUGAGGAGGCACCCAGAGAGCUGAACACCUAAGCCUGUGUUCAGAGUGGAAAAGAUACAAGAAGGUAUAGCUGGCAAGAUGCUGAAUUACCUGAAUGGCUGCGCGCCCUGGCUGCACCACACAGCUCCUGCAAGGCCAGUGUCUGCACAUAUUAGAUGAACAUAGGGUUUCACAAAGAUGCCGGAAGACUGCAAGCAACACAAAGAAGAAUGGAAGGAAGCGUGCUUGAAGUAAUGAGGACAGACAGGGGGUGAAGCUCCUGGAUCAGAGAGAUGGCAAGGGUUAUGAUCAUAAUGAAAAGGCUAAAAUGGCAGUGGCCUGUACAUGCUGCAAGAAGAAAUAAUGAUCAGUGAACAGCAGAAAUAGUCAACUGGAUAUCAAGGGCCCAGAAAAGACCAAGGUGGUGCCACACAUGGCAGAUGGGGGAGAUGAAAUAAAAGGCAUGGUGGUGUAGUAGAAAUCA